GAGUGGAAACGGAGAUUAGCCCAUCACCGAAGUCUAUUCACUUUUGUGGAAGGACAAUGUGGUGUUAGGGCAUGCACCUGGGAGAGCUUGCCUACUCGAAGUCCAUCUCCGAUUAUGGCUUUGACUUGGCCCAAAGCGGGUGAAAGGCCCGUACGGGUAGGCUGUGAUUUUAAGCUCUCCUCAGAUGUGUAUGCCUUCGAGUCGGAUUGCUUGAGAAUGCAGUCCAAAGUGGGUGGUAAACUCCAUCCAGGCUAAAUACUGGCACGAGUCCGAUAGUAGACAAGUACCGUGAGGGAAAGUUGAAAAGUACUCUGAAGAGAGAGUAAAGAGCACGUGAAGCCGCUUGCAGGGAAGCUGGUGGAGUCAAGCUUCUUGUCUGGAGGAUUGUCGUCAGAGGGCUGUUGUUGCGGGACGUGACGCGGGUGAACCUGGAAACGGUUUGCUGCACCUAAAUGCAGUUCAAGUCGCCCCGGGCAGAGUGUUUGUGCCUGCGUCUAUCUCCCACCUCUGGUGCUUUAUUCUCCGUGACAUACAUCACGG
rnacentral:rRNA from 1 species